GAAGAUAUAUUUUGUUUUGAAAAGGUAAAAAAAAAAAAAUGUGAAUAUUGAAACGUGUGUGUGUGUGGUUGCAACGUACACCCGGAACUGUUUUGUCGGAUGAAAUCUCUCCGCUUCUGCUGCCCUCCCGUCCUCAUUCUGGAGUUUGGCAUCCAGAGCAAAUGUGGUUGGACAUGCGCUCUCUUUUCUUAACAUCUCAUCAACCGUCGUCAUCAUCAUCCCAGACUUUGCCGACCGUUAGCUUGCGUGCAAAGUUUGCACGGUGACCGUAGCAGCAGCAGCAGCAGCAAUUCAAAAACAAAAAAAGCUCUCCGUACGUUGUCUGCUUCAGUAAGACUCUUUCACUGCAUUACUUCUCUCUUUUUUCCCCCCCUUUGGCAAUAAUACAAGAGAAGUUGAGAGCUGACUGUUGCAGGGCCGAGCGGGCGGAGUAGCUUUCCCGAUUCGAUUCCUUUCUCUUCACGGUUCUUUUUUUUUUUUUCUGAGCGUUGUCAUUGGUGUCAGAAUUCUUUGGCCUUUGGGGUUUCAUUGUUUGUGGAACACAUAUAUAUAUAUCUCAUCGAGCAGUUUAAUCAAAAGUGAUGUCAGGCGAGAUUUCAGGUUUGCAUGGAAGCAACUGUCAUUCCAAAGUUUGUUUUUAAGGACUCAGGUUGUGUUGAUGGGAAUGUGUGGCCGCGCGGUAGGUGUUCAGCGCUUUUAUUUCUGAUCAACUGAAGUCAUGAAGACCCAACAGUGAUGUGGAGAGAAAAAAAAAAAAAUCAGCGCAUGCCUCAUGUCAAUCAACGCGGGAGGGCAAGAGCAGAGUUUUGACAAAGCCUCUUGGCCGCCGCUGUUGGUUGAAUACUCCACAACAAAACACUGACCACUGUGCCGUGUCGUCGAGCAAAAACGUCUUCCUCCCAGAGGCAAAUGGCAACACACUUGGAGUGUGUCAAGGUAGCUUGUCUUAUUUGGUAUCGUCGUCUUUUUGGGGAGAUGGUCUCGCUAGCAUCAUCCGCGACGCAUCCGGCAUCCCGAGCGACUUAAUCGGUCCACGCAGCGCAGUCAAAAGGGAGUCAGAGCUUCCGAAAAUGAUGUCAGGCAAGUCGAGCGGGUGAAGACGGGAGAUCGCAAAUGGCUGUUUGGUGAUCGAUUGAGUCAUGAACGAAGCCGUCGCCUUUUCUGCGUGGAAGUCCCGCUGGUUCGGGGCUCGUGGCGCUCCGGUAGCUUCGCUUUGCAAGCUGGGAGGCCGGUCGGGGGUGUGCGACGCUCACCAUUAAGGGUCCCAUGUCGACCCGGUCCACGUUGGCUCCGAUUGAAACAAAAAGCGUAAAUUCGGCCUCCUGGACAGCACUAUGGAAGCGGCACUGUUUGUUUGGGGGUUUUUAUUUCAGUACAGUUUUCAUCUCGAAAGACAGAGCUGCGGCGGUCACGGGUCAAAACGCUGCAUACAGAAACUCCUCACCCACGUCUGUGUGUGUGUGUUUAAGGCCAAGACUUGUUCCUUUCUCGUUUAAUCGUCACAUUUUGUCCGCAUCAUUAUCAUCGUUCAGGUCCUGAAAAAAAAAAAAGAUGUCUCUGUUUUUAGUGCGUAAUACUGCCCCCUGUCCGCUGUACUACCUUUUUCUUUUAUCAAUUCGAAUCAUGGGUUCUUUUUCUUUCCUGUAUGCUUUACAGUGACCUUCGGGGUGUAAUGUCCUCUCAAAAAAAAAAAGCAAACAAAAAAAGAAACCAAAACACAAAUCCAGUUUGUGUCCGGUGCCCGUUUGAUCAUGUGAUGCCUCUGAUUGACACCUACCGUGGCGCUCUCGAGGGCGCACGUUUUGGGGGAGCGUGUUUCUCGUACCAAGAGUUUCUUUGCCGUUGGAAAGACACGCCCCAUCAUCAGAUUGGUUUCCAUCACAUCUUGCGGACCGACGUCAUGCAUCCACGCAAGUUUUCCAAAGAUCAAACAUGUUUGUUCAUUGUUCAGUCGAUCUAACCGGACUGCGCGGCGGACGAACGGGACGACAAAGUGGACGCUGGGGUUUCCGCAUUUUAUUUUUGAAACGCGCUAACGCAUCCAGAACUGUAUAGAGUAUGUUUCAACGGGACGUUCGCGAUCUACCUUUUUAUAUUUUGAAGAGAGAGAGAAAAUAGAAACAUAUCAAGAAAAGUGUCAUCGUUGAACAGAUUUCUACUACUGAGACUUAAAAUGUAUGAAUGUCAAUACGAACUAAUGUGAAACCAAUCUCCAUAGCAGCUUGAACAAAUUAACUGGUUGGAAGUCAUGAGAUGCUUUUCUUUUGUUUGGUUUUUUUCCUCCCAGAGACGUUGAAAAUUGCUUCAAUGCGAUGAACUUAAAUAAAAUGGGGGAGAAAAUUG